rnacentral:rRNA from 1 species
GAUGAACGCUGGCGGCGUGCCUAAUACAUGCAAGUCGAGCGAACGGACGAGAAGCUUGCUUCUCUGAUGUUAGCGGCGGGCGGGUGAGUAACACGUGGAUAACCUACCUAUAAGACUGGGAUAACUUCGGGAAACCGGAGCUAAUACCGGAUAAUAUUUUGAACCGCAUGGUUCAAAAGUGAAAGACGGUCUUGCUGUCACUUAUAGAUGGAUCCGCGCUGCAUUAGCUAGUUGGUAAGGUAACGGCUUACCAAGGCAACGAUGCAUAGCCGACCUGAGAGGGUGAUCGGCCACACUGGAACUGAGACACGGUCCAGACUCCUACGGGAGGCAGCAGUAGGGAAUCUUCCGCAAUGGGCGAAAGCCUGACGGAGCAACGGCGAGUGAGUGAUGAAGGUCUUCGGAUCGUAAAACUCUGUUAUUAGGGAAGAACAUAUGUGUAAGUAACUGUGCACAGCUUGACGGUACCUAAUCAGAAAGCCACGGCUAACUACGUG